rnacentral:rRNA from 1 species
CCUACGGGGGCUGCAGUGGGGAAUAUUGCACAAUGGGCGCAAGCCUGAUGCAGCCAUGCCGCGUGUGUGAAGAAGGCCUUCGGGUUGUAAAGCACUUUCAGCGGGGAGGAAGGCGUUAAGGUUAAUAACCUUGGCGAUUGACGUUACCCGCAGAAGAAGCACCGGCUAACUCCGUGCCAGCAGCCGCGGUAAUACGGAGGGUGCAAGGGUUAAUCGGAAUUACUGGGCGUAAAGCGCACGCAGGCGGUCUGUCAAGUCGGAUGUGAAAUCCCCGGGCUCAACCUGGGAACUGCAUUCGAAACUGGCAGGCUAGAGUCUUGUAGAGGGGGGUAGAAUUCCAGGUGUAGCGGUGAAAUGCGUAGAGAUCUGGAGGAAUACCGGUGGCGAAGGCGGCCCCCUGGACAAAGACUGACGCUCAGGUGCGAAAGCGUGGGGAGCAAACAGGAUUAGAUACCCGUGUAGUC